AUGGAGUUUAUUCCACCGGGCUUACCGGAGGACUUCCGCGGGGAUCUCGAGAGGCUGGCCAGGGAAUACACGGAAGCGCCCAGCCUUACGGCCCAGCUCCGAGCAGUCAAAUUAGCCAUCGAGAUCCUGGAGGACGAAUACUGGUGGCGUGAGUACCCCGGAGUGCAGGCGUUUUUCGAUAGACUCCGGCUAAUGCGGAGAAAUCUGACACGCGCACGGCGCGCAUCGGCUGGCCGCGGCUCCGCCUCCGCUCCGGCCGCCGCUCCGGUGGUUCGCGUCUCCAGCUCAGCCUCCAACCCAGUCGUGCUCUGUUCAGUCCCAGUCCAGUCGUGCUCUGUUCAGUCUCCAGUCCAGUCGAGCCCAGUUCAAUCUCCAGUCCAGCCGAGCCCAGUUCAGUCUCCAGUCCAGCCGAGCCCAGUUCAGUCUCCAGUCCAGCCGAGCCCAGUUCAGUCUCCAGUCCAGCCGAGCCCAGUUCAGUCUCCAGUCCACGUCCUAGCCCAAUCGAGCCCAGUCCCAGUCCAGUCGAGCCCAGUCCCAGUCCAGUCGAGCCCAGUCCCAGUCCAGUCGAGCUCAGCUCAGUCCAGGCCUCAGCCCAGUCCCAGUCCAGUCGAGCUCAGCUCAGUCCAGGCCUCAGCCCAGUCCCAGUCCAGUCGAGCUCAGCUCAGUCCAGGCCUCAGCCCAGUCGAGCUCAGUCCAGGUUCCAGCCCAGUCAAGCCCAGUCCAGUCGAGCCCAGUUCAGGUUCCAGCCCAGUUCAGGUUCCAGUACAGUCGAGUCACGUUCCUGUCCAGGUUCCAGUUCAGUCGAGUCACGUUCCUGUCCAGGUUCCAGUUCAGUCCAGUCACGUUCCUGUCCCAGUUCAGUUCAGUCACGCGCAGGUCGUGUCCCUACCAGGGGGCACCACCUGUCGUACAGGUGCUAUGCACACCCGAUCAGGCCCGACGUCUGCUCCGUCGAGCUUGGCAGCGGCAAGUAGCCAUGCCAGCUCCAGAGUAGAUGCCGUUCCAGUUCCUGUCGGCCAUGUCACGGCCGUUCCUGUCGGCCAUGUUGAGGCCGUUCUAGUUCCUGUUCCUGUCCCUGUCGGCCAAGUAGAUGCCGUUCCUGUCGGCCAAGUAGAUGCCGUUCCUGUCGGCCAAGUAGAUGCCGUUCCUGUCGGCCAAGUAGAUGCCGUUCCUGUCGGCCAAGUAGAUGCCGUUCCUGUCGGCCAAGUAGAUGCCGUUCCUGUCGGCCAAGUAGAUGCCGUUCCUGUCGGCCAAGUAGAUGCCGUUCCUGUCGGCCAAGUAGAUGCCGUUCCUGUCCUUGUCGGCCAAAUAGACGCCGUUCCUGUCCUUGUCGGCCAAGUAGACGCCGUUCUUGUCCCUGUCGGCCAUGUUGCGGCCGUUCCAGUUCCUGUCCCAGUCCCUGUCGGCCAUGUUGCGGCCGUUCCAGUUCCUGUCCCAGUCCCUGUCGGCCAUGUUGCGGCCGUUCCAGUUCCUGUCACCCUCGGAGCCGCAGCUCCUGCGCACCUCCAGGAGGAGGUGGCGCCAGCUGCACUCUCUGCGCACCUCCAGGAGGAGGUGGCGCCAGCUGCACUCUCUGCGCACCUCCAGGAGGAGGUGGCGCCAGCUGCACUCUCUGCGCACCUCCAGGAGGAGGUGGCGCCAGCUGCACUCUCUGCGCACCUCCAGGAGGAGGUGGCGCCAGCUGCACUCUCUGCGCACCUCCAGGAGGAGGUGGCGCCAGCGGCACUCUCUGCGCACCUCCAGGAGGAGGUGGCGCCUGCUGCAGUCCCUGCGCACCUCCAGGAGGAGGCCGCGCCUGCUGCAGUCCCUGCGCACCUCCAGGAGGAGGCGGCGCCAGCGGCAGUCCCUGCGCACCUCCAGGAGGAGGUGGCGCCAGCGGCAGUCCCUGCGCACCUCCAGGAGGAGGCCGCGCCUGCUGCAGUCCCUGCGCACCUCCAGGAGGAGGCCACGCCUGCUGCAGUCCCUGCGCACCUCCAGGAGGAGGCCGCGCCUGCUGCAGUUCCCGCGCACCUCCAGGAGGAGGCCGCGCCUGCUGCAGUUCCCGCGCACCUCCAGGAGGAGGUCGCGCCUGCUGCAGUUCCCGCGCACCUCCAGGAGGGGGUCGCGCCAGUUGCAGUUCCCGCGCACCUCCAGGAGGGGGUCGCGCCAGCCGCAGUUCCCGCGCACCUCCAGGAGGAGGUCGCGCCAGCCGCAGUUCCCGCGCACCUCCAGGAGGAGGUCGCGCCAGCCGCAGUUCCCGCGCACCUCCAGGAGGAGGUCGCGCCAGCCGCAGUUCCCGCGCACCUCCAGGAGGAGGUCGCGCCAGCCGCAGUUCCCGCGCACCUCCAGGAGGAGGUCGCGCCAGCCGCAGUUCCCGCGCACCUCCAGGAGGAGGUCGCGCCAGCCGCAGUUCCCGCGCACCUCCAGGAGGAGGUCGCGCCAGCUGCAGUUCCCGCGCACCUCCAGGAGGAGGUCGCGCCAGCCGCAGUCCAGGCGGAUCUCCAGGAGGGGGUCGCGCCAGCCGCAGUCCCGGCGGACCUCCAGGAGGGGGUCGCGCCAGCCGCAGUCCCGGCGGACCUCCAGGAGGGGGUCGCGCCAGCCGCAGUCCCGGCGGACCUCCAGGAGGGGGUCGCGCCAGCCGCAGUCCCGGCGGACCUCCAGGAGGGGGUCGCGCCAGCCGCAGUCCCGGCGGACCUCCAGGAGGGGGUCGCGCCAGCCGCAGUCCCGGCGGACCUCCAGGAGGGGGUCGCGCCCGUCGCAGUCCCGGCGGACCUCCAGGAGGGGGUCGCGCCAGCCGCAGUCCCGGCGGACCUCCAGGAGGGGGUCGCGCCCGUCGCAGUCCCGGCGGACCUCCAGGAGGGGGUCGUUCCCGUCGCAGCUCCCGCCGCACCUGCAUCGGUUCCUGGCGGCUCGGCUCCGGCCGCACCUGCAUCGGUUCCUGGCGGCUCGGCUCCGGCCGCACCUGCAUCUGUUCCUGGCGGCCCGGCUCCGGCCGCACCUGCAUCUGUUCCUGGCGGCUCGGCUCCGGCCGCACCUGCAUCGGUUCCUGGCGGCCCGGCUCCGGCCGCCCCUGCAUCGGUUCCUGCCUCGUCCUGGCCUCGGCUGCCGGACUGGUGGCCUCGCCCUCGGCUUCUCCUGGUGAUUGGAUGGCGCUGCCUCCUCCGGCGCCGUCCGCCUCGACUCCGCCACCGCCACGGCCGUUCGCCUGGGGUACGUCCCCUCCUGCCGCGACGAUGGCGCGGUCUCUGCCGUCGUCGUCCGCCGCGAUACUGGGAUCCCCGGAGCAUCUCCGUCGGGGAGGGGGCUGGGCUCAGCUCUGCUCUCCCGGACCUCGCCAGCCGUCGUGGUGGACUCUCCUGCCUCAGCGGCGGUUGA
ensembl:lncRNA